UUCCAAGGAGGAUGAAGUUUUCAUUUUUUAGCUUUAAUAGACCAUAUGGAGGAAUAUUUUUUUAUUUAUAAUUAUCUUUUAAAAUUUUAUAUGAGAUCAGUAAUAAUUUAGAGCUAACUCAAAAAACUUACAAAUGUAUCACAUUAAUUAAACUUACAAGAUCAGUAAUAAGUUAAGUUAAUAUUACAAAGUAAUGUUUGUACGAGUAAACAAUCAUUUAAAAGGCUCACAAGGUGCUAAAUGUUGUUAGUAUAUAAACUUUUAGUUUACAGU
rnacentral:lncRNA from 1 species